GCUUUUCUGGAAAGAUGCUUGGAUUCUAGACGGACCUCUUUGCAAUGUUUUCCUUAAUCUCUUUCGAGCUUGUGGUCUGAAAUCUGGUGCUGUUGCUAAAUUUUUCUCCUCCAAAUCCAAUUCCUGGAACUUGAGAUUUUACUCUACUUUAUCUCCAGCUGCACAGGCGGAAACCACUAUUCUACAUGACACUCUAAAUAAUUUUCAGCCUGGCAGCAGGCUAGGCUGCAUUCAGUGACAGCUGACCUCUUCUGGUAACCUCUCUUCUGCCUCGCUCUAUCACUUCCUCAACACCAGGGGUGUCAAAUGGGAAGUUGCUAAUUCUUUAUGGAAAACCAAUGUCCCCUCUAAGGUGAAGUACUUUCGCCUCUGGCUUGGCCUUCUCAAUAAGCUUAGCACAAGGGAAAACUUGUAUAACAAAACUAGCCAUUCCUUGGGUGAUUGCCCGGUUGAAUACAUCAACCAUUUAUUUGCUGCUUGUUCUUUUGCUGCCUCAAUUUGGUAUCAUCUAUGCAAAUCUCUCCUUAUCCCUCUUCUUGAAGGCAGUCUUUGGGACCUGUGUACCAAGUGGAGAUGUUGUCUUCAGCAUGCUGUGUUUAUACUAGUUGCAGCAGCUUUCUGGGUCUGCUGUCAGGAAAGAAGCAUCCUCAGUCAAUUGCCUUUAAAUCAUUCAGCUUCUCAAUGACUGGUCCCUGCUCUGCAAACAGAAAGAUCUCCUUGGCUUCUACUAUGAUGGAAGAGGUGCAGCCUGGUGAUCAUCUCCAGGAUCUUCUCUUUUUGCUGCUAUGAUGGAGGAGAGACAAUCCUCAAACACCAUGGGCUUCUUGAGUAUUUCUCAGAUAUUAAUACCAAUGCAUGCUGUCUGGAUGAGGAGGAUAGGCUUAGGAUCUUCCCCUUCCAUGGCUUCACCCCCUCUUCUCAUGUCUGCAGCCUCUGCCCUCCAAACAAGUGCAAGGUAAGCCUUGUUUAUUUUCGUCUACGUCUCAACUCCUGUCUGCAUAAUUCCAACAACAAAGAAAACUUUGUUAUAUGGCUUUUUGCGCCACUAAUGCAAAGUAUUAGUGCUGAUGCAAGGGGGUGGUAAUCUUCUCCAAGUACAAAGUAUAGCUGCCUUGAUCCUAAAAUAUUGGACGCUAGCAAUCGAAUUAUCUGAAUAUUGGCCAAAAAGAUCAUGUUCGUGUCAACUUUCUUUGUUUUUUCCCACUUUUUUUUUCCUCUUCGAAGUGGCUAUUGGAAAUUGUUACAGAUAUAUAUGAGCUUUGCUAAGGUCAUAUGUUGUAUGGUUUUCUCACAAACUCUACUUGAGCUUCCUGUGGCUUUGGA